CGGGCGCCGCAGGCCCCCGGGCUAAAGCCCCGACGGGAGGGGAUGGCUCCGCGGCCCAUCAGGUAGACGGCGGGGUGACGGCCCACCGUGCCGACAACGGGUAGCCGGGUUGAGAGACCGACCGGCCAGAUUGGGACUGAGACACGGCCCAGACUCCUACGGGAGGCAGCAGUGGGGAAUCUUGCGCAAUGGGGGGAACCCUGACGCAGCGACGCCGCGUGCGGGACGGAGGCCUUCGGGUCGUAAACCGCUUUCAGCAGGGAAGAGUCAAGACUGUACCUGCAGAAGAAGCCCCGGCUAACUACGUGCCAGCAGCCGCGGUAAUACGUAGGGGGCGAGCGUUAUCCGGAUUCAUUGGGCGUAAAGCGCGCGUAGGCGGCCCGGCAGGCCGGGGGUCGAAGCGGGGGGCUCAACCCCCCGAAGCCCCCGGAACCUCCGCGGCUUGGGUCCGGUAGGGGAGGGUGGAACACCCGGUGUAGCGGUGGAAUGCGCAGAUAUCGGGUGGAACACCGGUGGCGAAGGCGGCCCUCUGGGCCGAGACCGACGCUGAGGCGCGAAAGCUGGGGGAGCGAACAGGAUUAGAUACCCUGGUAGUCCCAGCCGUAA
rnacentral:rRNA from 1 species